rnacentral:rRNA from 1 species
UACGGGGGGGGCAAGCGUUGUUCGGAAUUACUGGGCGUAAAGGGCUUGUAGGCGGCCAACUAAGUCGGACGUGAAAUCCCCAGGCUCAACCUGGGAACUGCGUCCGAUACUGGAUGGCUUGAAUCCGGGAGAGGGAUGCAGAAUUCCAGGUGUAGCGGUGAAAUGCGUAGAUAUCUGGAGGAAUACCAGAGGCGAAGGCGGCUACCUGGACAAUUGCUGACGCUCAGGCACGAAAGCGUGGGGAGCAAAAGGG